rnacentral:rRNA from 1 species
ACGGGGUGCAGCAGGCGCGAAACCUCCGCAAUGUACGAAAGUGCGACGGGGGGAUCCCAAGUGUCAUGCUUUUUUGUAUGACUUUUCAUUAGUGUAAAAAGCUUUUAGAAUAAGAGCUGGGCAAGACCGGUGCCAGCCGCCGCGGUAACACCGGCAGCUCGAGUGGUAGCUGUUUUUAUUGGGCCUAAAGCGUUCGUAGCCGGUUUGAUAAGUCUUUGGUGAAAGCUUGUAGCUUAACUAUAAGAAUUGCUGGAGAUACUAUCAGACUUGAAGUCGGGAGAGGUUAGAGGUACUACCGGGGUAGGGGUGAAAUCCUAUAAUCCUGGGAGGACCACCUGUGGCGAAGGCGUCUAACAGGAACGAUCUUGACGGUGAGUAACGAAAGCCAGGGGCGCGAACCGGAUUAGAUACCCGGGUAGUCCUGGCCGUAAACGAUGUGGACUUGGUGUUGGAAUGGCUUUGAGUUGUUCCGGUGCCGAAGGGAAGCUUGUUAAGUCCACCCGCCUGGGAAGUACCGGUCGCAAGAACUGAAACCUUAAAGGAAAUUGGCCGGGGGGAGCAC